rnacentral:lncRNA from 1 species
UGAAAUGAGAGGGAAAGAUGGCUCUUUUUGUAUCUCUCCAACGUCCGUUUUAUUUGUGUCGCUUGCGGUGCACAAAGAAUUUCUCUUUACGAAUACUCCGACAUCCAUUUUAUUUGUGUCGCUUGCAAGGUCGGACGCCAACGUAACACAUGGCGGGGCUUUUGGCUAAGGUAUGAAAUGGUCUUUUACCCUUCUUAUAUAUUUAUCUUCUUUCCCUUUUUGUUUUUGUUGACAAAGACAUCCCUAUGCUCCAUCUUCGAUCAAAUCGUGCUCUAUACCCUUCCCCGGUGGAGAUGGAUAAAAAGGUGUGCUCAUUGGGUUUGCCAUUGGAUUCUGAUAGAUGGCAAAAACUGUCAAAGUUCGCUCGUCAGCCCUCAUCAGAGGGGAAAGGAGUCAAUCCAGGAUUGGGUUGAGUCACCUCAGUCGGGUCGGGAUCUGGAUGCCACAUUCUUAAUGAAGUGGAUUUGGACCAGAUAGCUAUGGAUGUAGGCUUGAAUAUUGGUCCAGAUUCGAAGGAUCAUUAUAUGGCCGAGGUGGGUGGGUCCUCCUUGGAGCAGGCUAGGAGCCCGGCACGAUCAAGUUCAAUCUCUCAAAACCUAGCAGCCCAUAGCCUAAACCUCAAGCCCAACCCACUUUCCUCGUUCGACUGUGUCUGAGCCAAAUGAUGUAGGCUCGAGUGGCAGGUUGCUGCUCCCAUGCUGAGCCCUAAGUGUUUUGAAGCAAGCCCAGGGUUAUUGGAAUUGGGUUUCCGUGCCACCAGAGGUAAGCUUGUUGGAGACCCCUCGCUUUGUCCCCUUCUCCUGCGACCUCCUCUAGCCCAUCCUCCCAUCUAUCGGUGAUCAGAGGAGGGCUUCACCAACCCACUUCCUCCCUCUUUGUGGAGUUUGUCACCAAGGACGGCCCGUAGGAGACCCCCGAUGACUCACGGCAGGGGGACAAGCAUCAAUCACUCAUACCACCCUUAUCCUCUUAUGGGCCUGCCUUGACCAGCUGUGAGGGAGGAAAUACGGUCGGGAAAGAGGAUGAGACGGUAGUAGAAAGAAGGGCGAUGGGCCACAAUGUGGUUGUAGACCGACUUAAUUCAACCUUGUUUGCUGGCGGGGAGCAGAACAAACUCAAUCUAAACAUUGUUGAUCGAACUGGGACUGAUGAAGCUUUGGCCAUAGGAUCACGAGCCCCACCCUUAACCAGUUAGUGAUUAAUUAUGAAGGUGUUAUUUUGGAACAUCUAAGGGGCUGAUAAGCCCCCCUUUUACUCAAGAGUAUAAGAGGAUCAUGCAACUUUAUAAUCCAGACCUGUGUGUGCUGGUUGAAAUAAGCCUCGGUGGUCCAAGUUUGACUCAUGCAUGUCAUCACUUCCUAGCUAAUUGGGGAUCUAUGCUAUGGGAUCUCAGAGAUUGAUUGGGUUAUUAUUCCAUGGAGAACCAAUGAUGUAAUGGUGGAUGUCUUCCUCCGAUGUGCUCAGCAAGUAGCUAUUGUUAUCUCUAAAAUGAAUCAUUUUAUUUAGCUUUUGCCUGUUGUGUACACGAGCACCAACUGUAGGGAGAGAAGGACUAUGUGGCAGGAGGCAUCAUGCUUGAUAGAUCAGGAUAUCCCCACUAUGGUGGUUGGUGAUUUUAACUAUAUUGUUGGCCCCCAUGAGAAAAGAGAUGGUAGGCCUUUUGUAGAUGAUGCAGGAUCUAAAGAAUUCAGGGACUUCAUUCAUUUUAUGGAUUUAGUUAGCAUUGGCUUUGUUGGCUCGAGGUUCAUCUGGUGCAACAAUCAUCAAGGUGGAGCUAAAGUGUGGAAGAUGAUCGAUAGGGUCCUUGUGAUGGCUAGCUGGAUUCAAAAAUUUCUCAAUCACUCUGUUCACCACUUGCCGAAGAUAGCCUUGGACCAUUGUUCGAUCUUGCUUACUAUUGAUACAUCAUUCUCUUAUUGGUGCCCAUUCUAGUUUGAGAAGUUCUAACUCUCUUAAUCUCGAUCCUGGGAUAUUGUGAGGGAGGUCUAGAAGCUUUAGGUGAGAGGCCAUACCAGGUACUGGAUGACUCAAAGACUAAAGCUGACUAGGCAGCAGCUAUGACGAUGGAAUAGGGUUGAAGUGGGCAAUACAUCAGAAGGCUGGAGGUUGUUAAGACUGUCAUUUUGGUGAUUCUUCCAUCAGACUACUGUCAUCCAUAGACACCAGAAUCAAAUCCAUACGAUUAGGGGUGAUGGAGGGCAGCGGUUAGUCGAGGAGAAUAUCAGGCAAGAGAUCAUGUAAUUUUUUAGAUCGAGAUGGAUCAUGGAGCUGGGUGGAGAGGGCACCUUCUAGCACCCCCUCCAAGCAAGUUGGUUAUGGAGUAAGAGAAUAGAGACCUUAGUAGAGCUAUGAUUGCCGAUGAGGUGUGGGGGGUGGUGUGGUCCAUGAUGGACAACAAAGCCUCGAGACCUAAUAGCUUUCCUUCACUCUUCUUCAGACGGUAUUGACUCAUUAUCCAGACUAAGGUGGUGGUUGUAAUGUAGGAGUUCUUUGCUACAGAUCUGAUGCCAGCUGCCUGGAAGCAAACUUUUAUUGUCCUUCUGCUGAAGAGGUAGGUGCAUCGGAGCCGAACCACUUCAGACCCAUUAGCUUAUACACGACCUUAUACAAGAUUUUCACCAAGCAAUGGUGGAUAGAAUGAAGCCUAUUCUUCCUCGACUGAUCUCUCCUGAACAGAGAGCAUUCAUUGGUAGCCAUAGCAUUUUUCGAUAAUGUUCUCAUUGCUUAGGAGUUCAUAUAUGAGCUUCAUCAUACUUUUAUCUACCAUAGUCUUAUAGAGAUCAAGCUGGACAUGGAGCAGACUUAUGAUCGUAUGAGUUAGUGAUUUCUAGAAUGGACCUUAGAGGAGUUUCGAUUUCACCCUCGUUAGAUUGGCUAGAUCAUAGCGUGCAUCUGUAGUCCCAACUUUGCAAUCCUGAUCAAUGGAACACCUUCAGAGUUUCUCUCUUCCAUAGCCAGAUUGCGAUAAGGUUGUACUUUAUCCCCGUAUUUUUUCAUUCUAUGUGCUGAUGCCCUCUCGCACGCUCUUCAUGCUGCAUUCCGAAGAUCAACUUUGGACUCUUAUCUGCCAGUCCUUCAGGCCCAACCAAUCUCAUAUUUGCCUUUUGUAGAUAACUGCCUACUAUUGGACUGGGCCUCUAUCUGAAAUGCUGUCGGCUUCAUGAGUCUUGGAGGAGUACUGCUCAGCAUUGGGCCAAAGAGUAAACCUCUUCAGUUCGCCAUAUAUUUUAGCCCAAAGAUGCUGAUCCAAUGGUGACAUAUGAUUAGAGGCAUCAUUAUGGCCACGGAGCAUAGGGGGCCUUUGCGUUACCUGUGGAUCCCUGUAUUAAAGCAUAGACACCGGAGAUCAAGUGCAUGGAGGUGGAGCAGUCGAUUCGGGGGCAACUAGAGGGAUGCUAAGCCAAAGCUCUUUCUAUGAUGGACAGAGUCAUCCUUGUAAGGUCAAUUCUCAACUCCAGGCUUAUUUAUCUCAUGCCAAACACUAUCCUACCAAAGACUCUGGUGGAGAAGCUCGAGUAGUACUUUUGGAGAUUCAUGUGGGUAUUGAGCUUUAAAGGUAGGGGUGUGCACCUGGUAGCUUGGGAUGUUGUGGAUCGAUCGCUAAUGGAUGGUGAUCCAGAGAUUUAGAUCUUGGUUGCUAGAUGAGAGGUCUUGAUUGCCAAGCAUGUGGCUUGUUUCCUUCUUAGCCCUGACAACUGGUAGAGCAGGAUGAUGAUUAUGAGGUAUGGAUCCUAGGUGACUGAAGAGGAGAUUUGUGUCUUGGAGCUGCUCUUUGUUGUAGAAGGAGAUUUAUGCACAGGCCCCGGAUGUUCUUUUUCAGAUAAGAUGGCUUGUGGGGGAUGGCCAUUCCAUGAAUGUUCUACUAAACUUCUGGAUUGCUGAUCUACCAAUGAGCCAAUGGCCAACUUUCACCAACGUGGAGGUUAGCGACUCGAUGAGGAUUUGUAAGCUACUCACUCAAGGUGAUAGAAGCUGAGAUACAGAGACAGUUGUCCAUUUGUUUGGCGAGCCCUUGGCUGAGCGAGUGCACUCACCGGCAAUUCCAGCCUGCAAUACAUAGGAUGUUAAGAGUCUGGAGAUCCUCAUGCUCCUUAAGAACGAUGACUACCGACCUCUACCACCUAUAUCGAAGGGAGCCUAUCAGGUGCCUGGACAUCGACUGGGUCUAGAGGACUGAUGUGCACCUAAGGAUGAGUCUCUUUAUUUGGAAAGUCGCUUGAGAGUGACUUCUAACCAGAUCCCUCGUGAGGGAGAGAGGUAUACAUCUAGAGCCUACUUGCCCAACUUGUGGAAUAGACGAUGAGACUCUAAAUCACGCGCUCUUUUUGUGUUCGAGAGCAUCGCAAGGGUAGCAUCUUGCAGGGAUGUAUAGCCUGACCUUCCAAACUAAAGCUCCAAUGUAGGCCUUCUUGGAUUUGUUGAGACGAUAUGCAAGGACUACUGCAUCAUGGAUGGUCAACAUCAGAGUAGCUUACAUGGCCCACCAAAUUUGGCUAGCCAAAAAUAGCCUGAUGUUUGAGGCGAAGACGUGUUCGGCAAGAUUUAUUCUAGAGAGAGUCCUCUCCUUGGUAGUUAAGAUGACUGAUGUGAUUGAAAUCGUCAAAAAUCUGGAACUCCUAUCCUGCUCAUGUAGCGACCCAUCAAGUUUUCAUCACUUGGAAGUCCCCUUGUCUGAUGCAUCCUAAGGUCAAUUUUGACGAAAGAGUCAGGGGCAGAUACGAAGAUGCUGGUUUUGUGAUCCAUAACCCUACAUCCAAACUAGUUGUGUUCGGGGUAGUACUGCUCAUCUCCUUCUUCAGGAUAUUGCAACCUUACUAACCGGCAAUGUGAGCAUCACUACUAAACAUACUUUUCAGAAAGCGAAUCCAGCAGUUGACUGGAUGGCGGCUUUGAUUGCGAAGCACUUCGAUGUGGAUGGAUAUAGAUGAGAGCUUUGGUCCACUCAAGGAUUUUUUGUUUUGACUCUUUUGGAUGUAUUCACAUAAGAACAGUAUGAACGAUUCAUUUUAUCAAAAAAAAAGAGAGCAAAUAUGAUCAUGGUGUGGCAUCAACCCCAUCCAUCUGCUAUCCAAAACAAUUUUAUUGAAUUUACAGGAAAUAUGUCCUUGCCGUAUGAAGAUUAUGAAUAUAGCAAAACAGUCUAAUUAAGAUGGUGGAA